AUGGCUUCAUCCGGUUCCAUGACGAGGCCACCGUGUGCUAACCAAGAAGACAUGCCGAACAAGUGGGAAGACGCAUCUUUGGACAAGGUGAAGGAGAAAGAUGUCAACAUCCCGCCAUGUUGGUGUGGAGAUGUUUGCAAGGUGAAGGUGUCCACCAACCGAAAGAAAGCAUGGACGGAAGGGCGGAGAUAUUUUGUAUGCCCGAACUAUGCUUAUGAUCGUGCACUUACAACUAACGCCUAUGACCAACCACCGGUAAGCUCGAGAAGUACUUCACCGCCUGCUCUAUGCAACACUAAGCUCGAGAAAAUGUUACUCUCAAAUGUGUGUCAACACUAA
rnacentral:rRNA from 1 species